AAGAAGACACCGGCGUAACUCCGUGCCAGCAGCCGCGGUAAUACGGAGGGUGCGAGCGUUAAUCGGAAUUACUGGGCGUAAAGCGCAUGCAGGCGGCCUGUUAAGUCAGAUGUGAAAGACCCGGGGCGUUAACCUCGGAAUUGCAUUUGAAACUAGGCAGGCUAGAGUCUUGUAGAGGGGGGUAGGAAUUUCAGGUGUAGCGGUGAAAUGCGUAGAGAUCUGAAGGAAUACCAGUGGCGAAGGCGGCCCCCUGGACAAAGACUGACGCUCAGAUGCGAAAGCGUGGGGAGCAAACAGGAUUAGAUACCCCUGGUAG
rnacentral:rRNA from 1 species